rnacentral:misc_RNA from 1 species
UGUGGGAGCGGGCUUGCUCGCGAAGGCGGCGUGUCAGUCAAAUGAGUAUCAACUGAUACACCGCCUUCGCGAGCAAGCCCGCUCCCACA